rnacentral:ncRNA from 1 species
CAAAUAGAGGCGCGGCUUUGCAAGAGUAAUGGGAUGGAAGUUUGCCAGAAACUGGAGAAGUCUUGUGAAAGGGUGAGCUGCCGAAGGGAAUAUCUGGCAAAUAGGCCCUGGUUGUAACAGCGAACAGCUUUGCGACUGUCAUCGUACUGAUGGAGUGCUAUUU